ACACCCGUUCCCAUACCGAACACGGAAGUUAAGCUCUCUAGCGCCGAUGGUAGUUGGGACAUUGUCCCUGUGAGAGUAGGACGUCGCCAAGC
rnacentral:rRNA from 1 species